rnacentral:lncRNA from 1 species
CCACACGGGGCACCCAGUGCAGCUGCAAGCCUGCAGCCUGGGGCCGGGCACAGGUCAUGCCCACGGCCACAUCUGGGGCUUCCGGUGUCUCCAGGCCGCAGGCACCCUGCCAGCUCCCCCAUGGCGUCAUCCCCUGCAGUCGACCACAGCAUUCUUGGACACCAGUCUGCAACCCAACCCUUAAUACCUAAAGGGACAGCCACUCAGAAUGCCCAUUCCUAUGAGUCAUUUUCCAUGCUCUGUCCAAAAUGCAGCUUUGUUUGUUCCUGAAAGAUUCCCUCGGUGGCUUUGCUGAUGGUGACUGAGGCAUGAAGGAGGGUGUUAGGAGACAGCCAGAUCCCGUCCCCAGACCCAGGGGAGCCAAGGCUCCGGAGCUCUAGAGACACACUGAGGACCAGGACCAGACCCAGAUCCACUCUAGGCAUAAUGGCCUGGGGAGGUUGCUGAAGUGCUGGGCCUCAGUCUUCCUGUGAAUAGAGAGGAUGCUGGCCUCAAGGCCUGUGUCCCCAGUGUUCAGGACUCAUGGUGUCUUCUCAGAAGGAAAAUGAGUAAUGGUGAUAAUGAAGAGGAUGACAGCGAUGGUGACCAUGGUGAUGGUGAUGAUAGUGAUGGUGGUGAUGGUGAUGGUGGUGGUGAUGGUGAUGAUGGUGGUGGUGAUGGUGAUGAUGAUGAUUGUGGUGAUGAUGAUGGUGAUGGUGAUGAUGGUGGUGAUGGUGAUGAUAGUGAUGGUGGUGAUGAUGGUGGUGAUGGUGAUAAUAGCGAUGGUGGUGAUGGUGAUGUUGGUGGUGAUGGUGGUGAUGGUUGUGGUGGUGAUGGUUGUGGUGCUUAUAGUUGUGGUGAUGAUGAUUGUGGUGAUGAUGGUAGUGGUGGUGAUGGUGGUGGUGAGGGUGAUGGUGGUGGUGAUGAUGAUGAUGAUGAUUGUGGUGAUGAU